rnacentral:rRNA from 1 species
AUGCGGGAGUGCCGCAAGGAACGACAAGACAGGUGCUGCAUGGCUGUCGUCAGCUCGCGUCGUGAGAUGUUGGGUUAAGUCCCGCAACGAGCGCAACCCUUGUCCCUAGUUGCCAGCACGUAAUGGUGGGAACUCUAGGGAGACUGCCGGUGACAAACCGGAGGAAGGUGGGGAUGACGUCAAGUCCUCAUGGCCCUUACGGCCAGGGCUACACACGUACUACAAUGGUCGGUACAGAGGGUUGCGAAGCCGCGAGGUGGAGCCAAUCCCAGAAAACCGAUCCCAGUCCGGAUCGGAGUCUGCAACUCGACUCCGUGAAGUCGGAAUCGCUAGUAAUCGCGAAUCAGCUAUGUCGCGGUGAAUACGUUCCCGGGCCUUGUACACACCGCCCGUCACACCAUGGGAGUUGGCUGCACCAGAAGCAGGUAGUCUAACCGCAAGGAGGACGCCUACCACGGUGUGGUCAAUGACUGGGGUGAAGUCGUAACAAGGUAACCGUAA